ACGGACACUCGUAGAAGACGAGUUCGAUAGACUCGGGAUGUACGCGCCGAGGCAACGAGGCGUUCAGUCCACGAGCACUAACAGUCCAUG
rnacentral:rRNA from 1 species